CUGGGAAUUGCUUGGUGGCCAGAGACCAAAGGCCACUAAGAACAGGGCCCUGGCUCCCAUUCCACGGUUCCAGCUCCAUCAUAGCCAUGAGAGUACCAUCUGCCUCUCUGGUCUGCAGGCAGCAUUGGGUGAUGCUCUGGAAUCAGCAAUGUGGGAACAGGCGGCAAAUGUGGGAACAGGUCUGGAACGGGGGAUCCUGACUGGAUCUACUGGAAGAAAAAGAGGACACUUGAGUUUGAAGCAAUGGGAGGAGAGACACAUGGAACAGCUGGAUCUUGGGAAAGGAACCCUGUGCCCGUUUCUGGACUCCACUGGAGCUGGACUCUGGCAGUGCUGCUGGUGGUGAUGGUGAUGGUGAGGAUGAGGAUGGUGAUGGUGAUGG
rnacentral:lncRNA from 1 species